AAAAGGUUCAUAAUCUAUCGGGCUUGAAGGUUGGGCUUAGUUUAUGUGUUUCAAUACGACCAGUUUCGUCCUGUGAACAUAAGUAAAACCGGCAUUUUCAGCUCUACCGCCGUUAAGGCUUUAAUUUAUAUAUACAGGAUUUAUAUCAUGUCUCAAGUUACUGGUGUUGUUAAGUGGUUCAACUCUGACAAAGGUUUCGGAUUUAUCGAGCAAGAGUCUGGCCCAGACGUAUUCGUUCACUUCCGUGCUAUCAACUCAGACGGUUUCAAAACUCUUGACGAAGGUCAAAAAGUUCAGUUCACUGUUACUCAAGGUCAAAAAGGCCCACAAGCUGAGAACGUAACUGUAGUUUAAUUAUUCCUAGCUUCGGCUAGUAUAAUUAAAUAAAACUGUAGUCUAUGACUGCAGUUUUUUU
rnacentral:sRNA from 1 species